rnacentral:lncRNA from 1 species
GGGAAUCAAUGUGUGAGGUGGUGCUAUGUAGCAGGAACCCCUCUUGCUUUGCAAAUAGUUUUUUGUUUGUUUUCCUUUUUGCCCAAUAGAGCCCUGCUCUACUGACCCUUCAAUGUGCCCGUGUGCCUAAAUAUUCCUGGUCGUGUGAAAAGAACCCAGGUAUUAGCUGAACUAAGGAGCACAAUUCUGCAACAUUUUGGCACCCAAACACGGGGCUUGAGAAAUGAAUGCAAUUGGAGAAACUGGUUGUUUUACCAGGCGUUGAUUGGAAAUGUGUGCUUCCCUUUAAGCAGUCAAGCUCAACUUGCAGAACUGAUGGGAACCCCUUGGGAAAACUGGCCUCAAAUGUUUGUCUACACAGUCCACAUACAGGGUUCUUAACCUGCGACUGACCCUGCUUGUGCCUGUGAACCAACCAACAAUCUCUGGCUGCAGCUCAGAAAGGACAAAAGAGAAUGGGCCAUCAAACUCCAGUCUGCACCUGGAGCCUUGGAUGAUGGCCUUUUUUACUGGGAACCCUGAAAUAGGCCUCUGAGGGAAAUCUGAUUGCCAUUUUCCCAAAACAGCUUCCCUGACAAUAGGAAGCAAUUAAGAUUGGUCUUCAUCCUUAUCUUUAUCCUUAUUCUAAUGGCAGUUAGAGGUACUUCUUUAGAGGGGGGAAUGAGACAGCCAAAUGCCUAGGCAGAUAAAAAGGUGUACCUGGAAAAUUUCCAACCCGUCACACAAGUGUUUACAUCAGAUGCUUUUGUGUAGAUGAGGGAAACUUCCCAGGGCUUGUCUGGGUAUGCCCACAGUGGACUGGAGCCCAAAAUGCACACUGGAGGAAGUGGAUGGAGCCACGUGGAUGUCAUGCCUUAUGCAGGGGAGGAGCCUGCUCUCUUCAGCUCCUGUGGUAAUGUGGGAAUCGAUCUGUGAGGAAACACUUUCUGAAAAUGUCAGAACUCUUGAAAACAUGGAUGAGGAAAAGCAUAAGUACUGCUUUAUGCUUUUCUUAUGAAUUUUAAAAGAUGUAAUUUAAAGAUGGAGUCUUGUUCUGUGGUCCAGGCUAGAGGGCAGUGGCAUGAUCUCGGCUCACUACAAGCUCUGCCUCCCGGGUUCACGCCAUUCUCCUGCCUCAGCCUCCUGAGUAGCUGGGACUACAGGCGCCCGCCACCACGCCUGGCUAAUUUUUUGUAUAUUUACUAGAGAUGGCUAGUGUUAGCCAAGAUGGUCUCGAUCUCCUGACCUCGUGAUCUGCCCACCUCAGCCUGCCAAAGUGCUGGGAUUACUGGCGUGAGCCACCGUGCCUGGCCAGCAUCCUCUAAUUAUUAUUCAUAGUUUGUGAAUUUAGGCCUACGUGAAUAAUAAUAUAAUAUUUACUAUGAUGUUACUAUCUACCAACCUUAUUUUUCUUUUCUAUAAAAUAGGAGCCAAAAUAAUAUUUAUGUCAUACCUUAUGAAGUUAAAAUAAAAUAUAACGAAUGAGGGG